rnacentral:tRNA from 1 species
UGCUUGGGUAGCUCAGUUGGUAGAGCACUUUCUUCGAAAGGAACAGGUCCCGAGUUCGAGUCUCGGUCCGGCAC